AGCCAGACUCCUACGGGAGGCAGCAGUGGGGAAUAUUGCACAAUGGGGGAAACCCUGAUGCAGCGACGCCGCGUGAGCGAUGAAGUAUUUCGGUAUGUAAAGCUCUAUCAGCAGGGAAGAAGGUGACGGUACCUGACUAAGAAGCCCCGGCUAACUACGUGCCAGCAGCCGCGGUAAUACGUAGGGGGCAAGAGUUAUCCGGAUUUACUGGGUGUAAAGGGAGCGUAGACGGCGAUGCAAGCCAGAUGUGAAAGCCCGGGGCUCAACCCCGGGACUGCAUUUGGAACUGUGUGGCUGGAGUGUCGGAGAGGCAGGCGGAAUUCCUAGUGUAGCGGUGAAAUGCGUAGAUAUUAGGAGGAACACCAGUGGCGAAGGCGGCCUGCUGGACGACAACUGACGGUGAGGCGCGAAAGCGUGGGGAGCAAACAGGAUUAGAUACCCCAGUAUG
rnacentral:rRNA from 1 species